CCGCAAGGGGAGCGGCAGACGGGUGAGUAACGCGUGGGAACGUACCCCCCGGUUCGGAAUAACUCAGGGAAACUUGAGCUAAUACCGGAUACGGCGACCAAGAGAGAUCUUGGAGGCGAAAGAUUUAUCGCCGGGGGAUCGGCCCGCGUCCGAUUAGCUAGUUGGUGUGGUAAUGGCGCACCAAGGCGACGAUCGGUAGCUGGUCUGAGAGGAUGAUCAGCCACAUUGGGACUGAGACACGGCCCAAACUCCUACGGGAGGCAGCAGUGGGGAAUAUUGGACAAUGGGCGAAAGCCUGAUCCAGCCAUGCCGCGUGAGUGAUGAAGGCCUUAGGGUUGUAAAGCUCUUUCACCCACGACGAUAAUGACGGUAGUGGGAGAAGAAGCCCCGGCUAACUUCGUGCCAGCAGCCGCGGUAAUACGAAGGGGGCUAGCGUUGUUCGGAAUUACUGGGCGUAAAGCGCGUGUAGGCGGGCUUUUAAGUCAGGGGUGAAAUGCCAAGGCUCAACCUUGGAACUGCCUUUGAUACUGGAAGUCUUGAGUCCGGGAGAGGUGAGUGGAACUGCGAGUGUAGAGGUGAAAUUCGUAGAUAUUCGCAAGAACACCAGUGGC
rnacentral:rRNA from 1 species